AGAUUAUAAAUCUAUACAUCUUGGUGAUACACCGGUUGGUGGGCGAGAAUUCGAAUAUCCAAAUAGGCUUAAAGCCUAGUGUGGAUCCAACAAACACGAUAUUUGUGGAUACAGGCUUUUAUGAAGACCUGAAGAGGGAGUUUGCUAUACUACAUCCCAAUGACCCUCAAGGUUACCAAGUUUCUGAAAAGUGUUAGUAUCUAAGGUGGAAAGUACCUAAGGUGCUUCUUUCUCGGGUCAAUGGGACACACAAUCCAUAUUCUCGUUCAUGGUUGGAUGCGGAUUACAUUGUGACAAUUUGCAAUGUUGAUAAUCAUUGGGUCACUAUCCGCAUUAACCUUAUUGAUUGGGUUGUCGAGUUGCACGACUCCAAGGCGCAUGAAUACAAUAUACAUAAUCAAGACUUAUGGUUUGAGCGCAUGGUCCAAAUGAAGCCCGUGACUCGCUUGUUUCCAAAGCUUUUGAACAAAGGAGGAUUCUGGGGAAAAAGAACAAGCCUCACUAAAAAGAUGGACUUCCUUACAUUGGUGACUGUUCCUUCCACCGAGCAAUUCGUUCAGCAAGAUUCUGUAAGUUGUGGUGUUUAUGCCUGCAUGUACUUGGAUCGAAUUACCACAGGUCAUCCACGUACUAGACAGGUAGACGAUAGUGUUGCUCACACAUUUCGGUUGAAGAUAGCUCGUCGAGUUUGGAGCUUGUGUUUGGCAUAGUAGUUGUUAUUAUGGAUUGAUUAUGUUAUUGUUUUGGAAAAUGUUUUAGACGAUGCAGUUAUCAUGGAUGAUUGUGCUAAUAUGUAUGUUUUGGACUGUUUUUAGACAAUGAUGUGUUUGUGUGUUGGAGCUUUUGUUGGAUGUUGGAUGAAAUUGUACUUAAAUUCUGUAAUCGUGUACUAUUUGUGUACUGAAGAAUCAGGUUUUGUGUACAAUUUCGUGUACUUGAUAACUAUGGAUGAUGCCAGGUUUCGUGUAUGUCUUUGUGUU